AAGGAAGCAUUGUUACCUUCUCUUUGGCCUCUCCUCCCUCUUCUCCAAAUUUUCUAUGUAAAUGGUUUGGCUGCACAUGGAAGAAGCCUCCGUUUAAAUGGCGACCUUCAUCGCCGCCGACCGAGACGUAUCCGCCACCAACCGAAACCUAUCCUCCGCCGGUACAGUAUCAACCACCACCAACCGAAACGUACCCUCCUCCGGUACAGUAUCAACCUCCACCAACCGAAACCUAUCCUCCGCCGGUACAGUAUCAACCUCCGCCGGUACAGUAUCAACCUCCACCAAUCGAAACGUAUCCUCCGCCGGUAAAGUAUCAACCUCCACCAAUCAAAACGUAUCCUCCGCCGGUACAGUGUCAACCGCCACCAACCGAAACGUAUCCUCCGCCGGUUCAUUAUCCAUCGCCGCCGAAGUAUCGGCCGCCGUCAUAUCACCUAACACCUCCACCUUACGGUGGAUACCCUCCGGCGGAUCCGUAGUUAAAUAUUAAGAAUCAAACAAAGACAUGUUCGU
rnacentral:lncRNA from 1 species